ACUGGAGGUUUGGCGCCCUCUGUAAUCUCAGCUUCUGAGAGGUUGGUUUAUGGACUGAUUUGAGGUUGGGAGCCCUGUCUAUUGAACGGGCAUGUUGACGGUUCGUCCGCGAUAAGCUUGUCAUCAACAUAGAUCAUUAUACGGAGGUAUUGGUGGUCUAGGUUGCUAAGGAAGAGGGCAAAGGGCUAGAAUCGAAAGAGAGCAGCCAGAACUUCUCGUGGCAAAGCAGUAUCACGGAUGGCGGACCAGAGUGAAUCCGCCAAUAACAGCUCAAUCAAUACAAUCACACCAUAAACUUU
rnacentral:SRP_RNA from 1 species